UGUGGGAGCUGGCUUGCCUGCGAUGACGGUGGGUCAGCUUGCAGCUCUGUUGCUGAUAAACCGCCAUCGCAGGCAAGCCAGCUCCCACA
rnacentral:misc_RNA from 1 species